AGCAGCCAGGGAGGAAGGAGCUUUCCCUCAGCAAAGCUGCGAGGACAGGCCUGACUGCAGAAUUUUGAAAAUGUCCCUGAGCUAUUUCCCAAGGUUUGAGAAACUUCAGCUAAUGUUUUCUGCUUACUGGCUCCCUGCAUGGACUUGAUUUGAAAGAGCCUGAUCAUAUACACAGACACCAAAGUGGUUCAUUCCAUAUUGGAAUUUCUGUACUCAGAUUUACCUUUUGUAUAACCAGCAAAUAAAUGCAUUGUUGUGGUA